GCCCCGGCCCGCAUACAACGCUGUCUGCACCGCUCCCCUGCCUUCUUCCGGGCUCCCAGAGCACCGCUAUGGAGAUGCUCUCCCGGCAUUUGAGGAAGAAUUGAUUGUCCUCAUCCUGCAACUGUACUUGCCCAACCGAUAUUUAUUGAUGCCUGCAGUGUCCUGGGUGCCUACCAAGGGGCACAGAACUGGAUCCGACGCAGACCCUGCCUGCCUUCAGGUUGCUUGAAGAUGAACAGAGAGAUCGGACCUCUGCAUGAAGCCAGACUGCUCAUCAUUCCAGACAUCUUCAGCUGCUACACCCAGAACAAGCAUUCGAAAUAUGAACAGGAUGGUGAGCCAGAUCUUUCCAAUCAUGGUGGAGUGGAUGUGAACUUCCUCCAGAGUAUCUCCAAGGAGAUUCCAGUCCCCCAUGUUUAUUUAGUCAGCCAUCUUAGCUCUGAUCCACAUCAAAUAAGAGGCAGAUAAAUUCUUCCAUUCUGAAGGGAGCACUAUUUCUUAAAGCAAACCUAUGGUGAAAAUAUAACAAUAUGUCACUUCUAUAUGCUGGUUGCUUUACUUUUUCCCUAGAUAGCUGUGGGGUUUUUUCUUUGUUUGUUUGUUUGUUGAGACAGAGUCUCCCUCUGUUGCCCAGGCUGGAGUACAGUGUUGCAACCACAACUCCCUGCAGCCUCAACCUCCCAGACUCAAGCGAUCAUCUCCCCUCUCAGCCUCCUGAGUAGCUGGGACUGCAGGUGUGUGCAACUACACCCAGAUAAUUUUUUUUAUUUUUUUGUAGAGACAGGGUCUCACUCUAUUGCUGCAGCUAGUCUUAAACUCCUAGACUCAAGUGAUCCUCUUGCCUUCACCUCCCAAAGUGUGGGAAUUACAGGUGUGGGUCACCACACCUGGCCAAAGUGUGAAUCUGUUACCAAUAAUAUACUUAAAUGUCAGGAAUUUAAAAUCACUUAUAUUUAGACAUCACAAUACAAUGAAAAAAACAUGAUACCUGGAGGAGGAGUGUAUAUAUUCUCUAUUAAGAAUAUAGGCUGGGCGGGGUGGCUCACACCUGUAAUCCCAACACUUUGGGAGGCCAAGGUGGGUGGAUCAUUUGAGGUCAGGAGUUCCAGACCAGCCUGGCCAACAUGGUAAAACCCCGCCUCUACUAAAAAUACAAAAAUUAGCCAGGCGUGGUGGCAGGCGCUUGUAGUCCCAGCUACUCGGGAGGCUGAGGCAAGAGAAUCGCUUGAACCUGGAAGGCAGAGGUUGCAGUGAGCUGAGAUCAAACCCUUGACCUCAGAUGAUCUGGCCACCUCGGCCUCCCAAAGUGCUGGGAUUACAGGCAUGAGCCAAUGCGCAUGGCCUAAAAUUAUAUUCUUUUUUUUUUUUUUUUUGAGACGGAGUCUCACUCUGUAGCCCAGGCUGGAGUGCAAUGGCAUGAUCUCAGCUCACCGCAACCUCCACCUCCUGGGUUCAAGCGAUUCUCCUGCCUCAGCCUCCUGAGUAGCUGUGAUUACAGGCAUGCACCACCAUGCCCGGAUAAUUUUGUAUUUUUAGUAGAGAUGAUGUUUCUCCAUGUUGGCCAGGCUGGUCUCGAACUCCUGACCUCAGGUGAUCUGCCCACCUCGGCCUCCCAAAGUGCUGGGAUUACAGGCGUGAGCCACCAUGCCCAGCCUAUUGUUGUUUUUCAACAGAACUUUUGGAAAGGUUUCUAAAACUAGUAACCUGAUCUUAACCUUAUUUAUUAAGAUUAUUUGAUAUAAAAGUUAUAACAAAGUCAAUUUCUUUUUCCCCAACAUGCCAUUACUGGCUUGAAAAGUCAGUGAUUUUUUUUUCUUUCUUUCUUUCUUUUGGGACAGAGUCUUGCUCUGUCGCCAGGCUGGAGUGCAGUGGCGCAAUCUCGGCGCAUUGCAACCUCCGCCUCCUGGGUUCAAGCGAUUCCCCUGCCUCAUCCUCCUGAGUAGCUGGGAUUACAGGCGCCUGCCAACACCCCCCGGGAUAAUUUUUUGUAUUUUAGUAGACACGGGGUUUCACCAUGUUGGCCAGGAUGAUCUCGAUCUCCUGACCUCGUGAUCCACCCGCCUCAGCCUCCCAAAGUGCCAGGAUUACAGGCAUGAGCCACCGUGCCCGGUCAAAAAGUCAGUGAUUUUUAAAUCUCAUUUAUACACAUAGGAAAACGAAUAUGCUUCAUUUGAUAAUUCAGUAAGAUAUGGCAUUCAGUGAAACCAGAGGAAACAGAUCUGGCUGUCAUAGGAAUUUAGAUUAGUUUUUUUAAUCCAAAUUGAAAUAAAUUUGAAAUAAAUUCUGGUUUCUUCCUGGCAAUUGGUGAACAUUUUCAGAAAUUCAUCUCAGUAAUAUUUAUGAAUAUGUAUAAAGUACUUAUUAUACUUUACUAUGAAAAAGUAUACUUUUUUUCUUUUUUUUUGGUGGGGGGAGACAGAGUCUCACUCUGUUGCCCAGACUAGAGUGCAGUGGCAGGAUCUCAGCCCACUGCAACCUCCACUUCCCAGGUUCAAGUGAUUCUCGUGCCUGAGCCUGCCAAGUAGCUGAGACUACAGGCAAGUGCCACCACGCUUGGCUAAUUUUUGUAUUGUUAGUAGAGACGGGGUUUCACCAUGUUGGCCAGGCUGGUCUUGAACUCCUGAACCUUGAGUGAUCCACCCGCCUCGGCCUCCCAUAGUAAGCCACCGCGCCCAGCCCAAAUUUUGUAAAUUCUUACGUUAAAAUGAACUUCAAGCCCAGCACAGUGGCUCACACCUGUAAUCCCAGCACUUUGGGAGGCCGAUGCGGAUCACCUGAGGUCAGGAGUUCGAGACCAGCCUGGCCAACAUGGUGAAACACUGUCUCUACAAAAAUACAAAAAAUUAGCUGGGUGUGGUGGCAGGCAUCUGUAACCCCAGCUACUCAGGAGGCUGAGGCAGGAGAAUCACUUGAACCUGGGAGGCAGAGGUUGCGGUGAGCCAAGAUCGCGCCAUUGCACUCCAGCCUUGGCGACAAGAGCAGAAACUCUGUCUCAGAAAACAAAAAGAACUCCAAAAAUUCUCAACUAUUUUAUGGUACCAGAAUCUUUUUUUUUUUUUUUUUUUUGAGACGAAGUUUCCCUCUUGUUGCCCAGGCUGGAGUGCAAUGGCACAAUCUCGGCUCACCGCAACCUCCACCUCCCAGGUUCAAGUGAUUCUCCUGCCCCAGGCUCCAGAGUAGCUGGUAUUACAGACAUGCGCCACCAUGCCCAGCUAAUUUUGUAUUUUUAGUAGAGAUGGGGUUCCUCCAUAUUGGUCAGGCUAGUUUCGAACUCCCAACCUCAGGUGAUCCACCUGCCUCGGCCUCCCAAAGUGCUGGGAUUACAGGCGUGAGCCACUGCGCCCGGCCUUAUGGUACCAGAAUCUCAUUAUAGAUAUUACUUGCAAUAGAUUGUUCACUGGUAUGGUGGCAGUAUUAUGGAAACUUUCACUGUAGCAGUAUUUGACCUAUUUAAGACAUAUAGCUGCUCUCUUGAAGGAAGCAGUGGGGCAAGUUAUAAUUUAGCUGCUUGGAUUAUUUGCCGGCAGAUUGCAUAUUAAGGUUGGUAUCCCAGGUUAUCUCAGAGGAAAUAUACCCCAAAGGAAAGAUUUUAAAAGUGAAUAUUUUCAUUAUUUUUCAUUUAAAAUAUAAAUGUAUGUCCUGUCCCCUUUAUAUAAAGGGAACUGUUACACAAUCAAACAAACUACUAAGAUACAAGAUGUGUUCAUCACUAAAAUCCUAUGCGGUAAGUAUGUUGUUUCCCCCAUCUUACAGAUGAGGAAACGGAAGCACACCUUAAUUUACCUGAGGUCACACAGCUGGAGCU
rnacentral:lncRNA from 10 species